rnacentral:rRNA from 1 species
AUUGAACGCUGGCGGCAGGCUUAACACAUGCAAGUCGAGCGGGGUGAUGGUGCUUGCACUAUCACUUAGCGGCGGACGGGUGGGUAAUGCUUAGGAAUCUGCCUAUUAGUGGGGGACAACAUCUCGAAAGGGAUGCUAAUACCGCAUACGUCCUACGGGAGAAAGCAGGGGAUCACUUGUGACCUUGUGCUAAUAGAUGAGCCUAAGUCGGAUUAGCUAGUUGGUGGGGUAAAGGCCUACCAAGGCGACGAUCUGUAGCGGGUCUGAGAGGAUGAUCCGCCACACUGGGACGGGGACACGGCCCAGACUCCUACGGGAGGCAGCAGUGGGGAAUAUUGGACAAUGGGGGGAACCCUGAUCCAGCCAUGCCGCGUGUGUGAAGAAGGCCUUAUGGUUGUAAAGCACUUUAAGCGAGGAGGAGGCUUACCUAGUUAAUACCUGGGAUAAGUGGACGUUACUCGCAGAAUAAGCACCGGCUAACUCUGUGCCAGCAGCCGCCGUAA